CGUGUAGGCGGUCUGUUAAGUCAUGUGUGAAAUCCCUCGGCUCAACCGGGGAACGACGCAUGAAACUGACAAGCUAGAGUACCAAAGAGGGGGGUGGAAUUCCCGGUGUAGCGGUGAAAUGCGUAGAUAUCGUAAGGAAGACCAGUGGCGAAGGCGGGUCUCUGGACAGUUCCUGACGCUGAGGCACGAAGGUCAGGGGAGCAAACG
rnacentral:rRNA from 1 species